CGACAAUAAACAAUACCAAUUGCAUGAACAGCGACAACAAGUGAAUGGCAAAAUAUAAACAAUAUAAAGCAAUGCAAUGAUGCCGCAUUCCAUUUGCACUCUAUACAAAUAUAUACGUGGGAAUACUUUACUAUGUAGCUUAAGUCGUAAUCAUGUUGCAAUAUGGCCACUUAAAAUGAUGGACCCAACCGAGUGGACAACUUGUUUUUGUUUGUUUCGCUCGCCUCACAUUAAUAACUAUGUAAUUAAUUGCGCAUACGCCACGUAUGCCGCAUGCAAUUGCUUCGCUCUGGCUCAGGCAAAUACUCGCAUCCUUCGCUGCUUUUCAAUGCAACGCAAAAGGGUAUCAUGUGGAAGUCAAUAGAUAGCAAACGCAUGCAGCAACUGCAGAGGAAGCCAACGGACCAAGAAAUCUAACUAGAAGCUGUCAAAGUGUACACUAUAAUCUUGGGUAAGUCAGCUACUUUAUGCUAUUUAAAUUUGUGCUUAUAAUGAGAGUUA